rnacentral:rRNA from 1 species
UACGAGAGGCCCAAACGUUAUUCGGAAUUACUGGGCUUAAAGAGUUCGUAGGCGGCGCAGAAAGUAGGGUGUGAAAGCCCUCGGCUCAACCGAGGAAUUGCGCCCUAAACUACUGUGCUUGAGGAACCUAGAGGUGAGCGGAACUGAUGGUGGAGCGGUGAAAUGCGUUGAUAUCAUCAGGAACACCGGAGGCGAAGGCGGCUCACUGGGGGGUUAUCGUGAC